rnacentral:tRNA from 1 species
GCGAUUGUGGUGUAAUGGCAACACGGGAGACUGUGGAUCUCCAGUCCCGGGUUCAAUUCCCGGCAUUCGCC